ensembl:lncRNA
ACGCUGUGGCAAAGUCCUUUGAACUAAAAUCUGUGAAGAACGGGAAAAAAAAAAAAAGUCACUUCUGGCCUUAGCUGUAUCCCUUCUAGCCUCAACCUUCAAAGUAUGGCAGUGUCACAAUGGUUGUAAAAACACUUUGUUUUUGUUUGUUUUGUUUAUUAACUUAUACCUUGCCUCCUGGUGGUGAACAACACCUGUCUACUGAACCCCAGGAAACUGAAGUUUGAGACCCCUUGUUAACAACUUCUCAUUUUUAGUCCAGAGAAUGUGAGAGAGUAACUGGCAGGAUAUUUCAUGAAUAGGCCUUUCUUUAAAAUAUGGCAUAUAUUAUUUGAGGUUUAAAGGACCAGGACGUUUAAAUUUAUUCUACAUUCUCAAAGAAGCCUUUUUUGCAUCUUGAGCCAAUCUUUAAUAGCUGCACUCUUUUUUCAGUCAAAUAAUAAGUUGAAAGGAAAAGUAGAGGCUAUAUUAGCCCUCAGAGGUCUGUUAGCCACAGCACCGAAGCGAAUAGCUAAAUUUCCUGGAUCAUCAUUUAUAGCCAUUCACCACACACAAAAGAUUACUUUGGAAACUUUCAUUGAAUUUCAUAAACCAUAGGAGGUCAUUCAGUGUAAAUGUCACAAGGUGACGAUCUUUAGGGGCGGAACCAAAAUUCGGGAAGUUUGGUUCCGCCCGGAAGUGUUUCCGCCCGGACCGGAAAAACAGAACACCGGAACUUCCGGUAGCGCCGUAAGAAGGAAAAUCAGGGAAUUCGAUGCACCUGUGCCUAGUUAGGGACAGCGGUUGGUGAUUGGAGGAUACGCUGGACAAGGCAGUACUUAAGGCCAAGUUAUUUCACAGUCUGAGCGUUCUUUCUGGUGUGUGUGAAGCACUGUGUUGUGCCCGUCUUGGUGCGCUGCUGGCGGCUGUCUAACUCUCUCUCUCCCUCAGGCUGGAAUUGUAUGAUUGUGAAGACAUCGCGAACCUUAAAGGUUGAGAAGUGAACGGAUUAUACGGCGAACUGAGACGACGUGAAAAAGGGGAUUGGAAGCGGCAUUGAUGUGAGUACUAAGAGCCAGUCGAAAGUGCCCUGUAUAUUGACCUGGCGUUGUGUAGAUCUCUCCAGGAGGAGGAGGGCGGCCCUACCCCUAAUAUAGCGUGGUGGGAGAGCCGAAGGAAUACUUAUUGAAGUAGUCACAACGACGACAUCACUAGCUAGGCCGCAUAUUCCAUCGCCAGAUCCGAACCAAGCGAAGUGAAGGAAGACGGGUGUCCUUUUCGUACACUGAGUGUGGUGGGUGAGUCUUCAUGCUGUGAAAACCUAUAAUUUUGACGUGGUGCUGUAUAUUGCUGUGGGCUGCUGUGUAUUGCCGUGUGUCCUGUCAGAUAAACCCCCGCCUUCACGCACUUCGUCGCGGGAGGACAAGGAGACUGCUGGUCCUAGCCUAGUUCAGUACAGUAUAUGUUGUGAGCGUGCUUCAGAUCUCCGGAGAUAGCACGGUACGCUGUGUCCAGCCCAGAGGUGAAAGCCAUCCAAAGCAGAGUAACUGUGCUUUGUGUCCAAGUUGAUACCUGUGGAGAGAAAAGGAAAGAGAGAGUGAGUAACACAAGGAGAACCAGAGGGAACCUGUACUUACAGUACGCUGUGUUCAGCCCAGAGGUGAGAGCCAUUCAAAGCAAACUAACUGUGCUAUUGUGCCUAAGUUGAUACCUGUGGAGAGAAAAGGAGAGAGAGUGGGUAACACGAGGAGAGACCGAGGAAACCUGUACUUACGCCGCUGCCUGUGGAGAAAGAGAAAGCGAGUGAGCACCCAAGGAACGAACUGUGUGAACCAGUACUUACUGUGAGCUGCAAUCAGCGAAGAGGUGAGAGCAAAACCAAGCCGAAUUAACUGUGCUUUUGUGUCCCAGCCGUUGCCUGUGGAGGAAGAGAAAGAGAGUGAGCACCUCGAGAACGAACUGUGUGAACCAGUACUUACCGUGAGCUGUAUUCAGCGAAGAGGAGGAAGAAGGAGGGCGCUACGGAUACCUAAGACUCAGGCCGGGGCCCGAGUCCCACGCCCCGGAUCCCCGUGGCCCCCUUGCUCCCUGACCUCUUCCCGGCCAUAGCCCAUCUGGAGGGCCGAGUCAGAGUUUAGUUUUAAUUGCCCUUUCCCUAUUCCCCAAGCUAUUUUUAAAUAUUUAAAUAAAGAUUGUUUUAUCACUUACUUGUUCUCGUGUUGUUUGGCCAUUGGGUUGGCUUUGGGGACCUCCUCGAGGUGGAAGUUGAGAAGGGGUGUGGCUUAGUCAAAGCAUAGCCAGCCCCUGGGUGUGACAUAAACA